UACGUAGGGACCAAGCGUUUGUUCGGAUUCAUUGGGCGUAAAGGGUGCGUAGGUGGCGGGGUAAGUCAGGUGUGAAAUCUCGGGGCUCAACCCCGAAACUGCAUUUGAUACUGCCUUGCUCGAGUACUGGAGAGGAGACUGGAAUUUACGGUGUAGCGGUGAAAUGCGUAGAUAUCGUAAGGAAGACCAGUGGCGAAGGCGGGUCUCUGGACAGUUCCUGACGCUGAGGCACGAAGGCCAGGGGAGCAAACGGG
rnacentral:rRNA from 1 species